AGAGUUUGAUCCUGGCUCAGGACGAACGCUGGCGGCGCGCCUAACACAUGCAAGUCGAACGGAGCUGAGAGGAGCUUGCUUUUCUCAGCUUAGUGGCGAACGGGUGAGUAACGCGUGAGUAACCUGCCCUGGAGUGGGGGACAACAGUUGGAAACGACUGCUAAUACCGCAUAAGCCCACGGCCCGGCAUCGGGCUGCGGGAAAAGGAUUUAUUCGCUUCAGGAUGGACUCGCGUCCAAUUAGCUAGUUGGUGAGGUAACGGCCCACCAAGGCGACGAUUGGUAGCCGGACUGAGAGGUUGAACGGCCACAUUGGGACUGAGACACGGCCCAGACUCCUACGGGAGGCAGCAGUGGGGGAUAUUGCACAAUGGGGGAAACCCUGAUGCAGCGACGCCGCGUGGAGGAAGAAGGUUUUCGGAUUGUAAACUCCUGUCGUUAGGGACGAUAAUGACGGUACCUAACAAGAAAGCACCGGCUAACUACGUGCCAGCAGCCGCGGUAAAACGUAGGGUGCAAGCGUUGUCCGGAAUUACUGGGUGUAAAGGGAGCGCAGGCGGACCGGCAAGUUGGAAGUGAAAACUAUGGGCUCAACCCAUAAAUUGCUUUCAAAACUGCUGGCCUUGAGUAGUGCAGAGGUAGGUGGAAUUCCCGGUGUAGCGGUGGAAUGCGUAGAUAUCGGGAGGAACACCAGUGGCGAAGGCGACCUACUGGGCACCAACUGACGCUGAGGCUCGAAAGCAUGGGUAGCCAAACAGGAUUAGAUACCCUGGUAGUCCAUGCCGUAAAACGAUGAUUACUAGGUGUUGGAGGAUUGACCCCUUCAGUGCCGCAGUUAACACAAUAAGUAAUCCACCUGGGGAGUACGACCGCAAGGUUGAAACUCAAAGGAAUUGACGGGGGCCCGCACAAGCAGUGGAGUAUGUGGUUUAAUUCGAUGCAACGCGAAGAACCUUACCUGGGCUUGACAUGUAAUGAACAACAUGUGAAAGCAUGCGACUCUUCGGAGGCGUUACACAGGUGCUGCAUGGCCGUCGUCAGCUCGUGUCGUGAGAUGUUUGGUUAAGUCCAGCAACGAGCGCAACCCCUGUUGCCAGUUACCAUCGAGUAAUGUCGGGGACUCUGGCGAGACUGCCCAGAUCAACUGGGAGGAAGGUGGGGACGACGUCAGGUCAGUAUGGCCCUUAUGCCCAGGGCUGCACACGUACUACAAUGCCCAGUACAGAGGGGGCCGAAGCCGCGAGGCGGAGGAAAUCCUGAAAACUGGGCCCAGUUCGGACUGUAGGCUGCAACCCGCCUACACGAAGCCGGAAUCGCUAGUAAUGGCGCAUCAGCUACGGCGCCGUGAAUACGUUCCCGGGUCUUGCACACACCGCCCGUCA
rnacentral:rRNA from 1 species